GUGCUCAUGUUCUCUGCAGCACACAUACUAAAACUGGAAUGAUACAGAGAUGAUUAGGAUGGCCCUGUGCAGGAAAACACACAUGUCUGUGAAGCAUUCCGUAUUUUU
ensembl:snRNA U6 U6 spliceosomal RNA